rnacentral:lncRNA from 1 species
ACGACCAAGGUUAACUACCUUGUUACUACUUUUCUUAAUUAAAACUUAUUUUGAUCACGAAACGACAGUGAUCAAAUUGGCGCCGUUGCCGGGGAUCUCUGAUUAGGAUUAGUAAAAUUUAGAACUAACUAACAUUACUAACACUUUUUGUUUUGUGAGUUUUUGUUGUGUUUCAGGUUCUAACGUUCAAUUUUGCAGCGAAGCUGAAAAAUAAUUAAUUUUCGGUUGAUAUCUCAGAUUGAUCCGAAAUUUGGUCCAUAAAUCCGAAAUAAAUCAAGGAACAAAACUUUCGUAUCUUUGAUACGAAAAUUGAGGCUGAAAUUGCGAAAUUCCUUCGUUUAGACCACUUAUUAUUUUUUUUGAAUUUUCCAUACAUUUAAAAAAAUCCCAAAAAAUUAUAUUUAGAUUUGUUUGAUUUUUAGAGAUUUU